rfam:Ictidomys tridecemlineatus contig079206, whole genome shotgun sequence.
GGGGUUGUAGCUUAGUGGUAGAGCACUUUCCUUGCAUGUGUGUGGCCCUGGGUUCAAUCCUCAGCAUCACAU